rnacentral:rRNA from 1 species
GUGAGGAAUAUUGCGCAAUGGAGGCAACUCUGACGCAGCCAUGCCGCGUGCAGGAAGAAGGCGCUACGCGUUGUUAACUGCUUUUAACCGGGAAGAAACCCCAGGACGUGUCCUGGGUUGACGGUACCGGAGGAAUAAGCACCGGCUAACUUCGUGCCAGCAGCCGCGGUAAUACGAAGGGUGCAAGCGUUAUCCGGAUUCAUUGGGUUUAAAGGGUGCGUAGGCGGAGCGUUAAGUCAGUGGUGAAAUCCUGCAGCUUAACUGUAGACUUGCCAUUGAUACUGGCGCUCUUGAGUGCGCUUGAAGUGGGCGGAAUGUGCCGUGUAGCGGUGAAAUGCUUAGAUAUGGCACAGAACACCAAUUGCGAAGGCAGCUCACUAAGGCGAUACUGACGCUGAGGCACGAAAGCGUGGGGAUCGAACAGGAUUAGAAACCCCGGUAGUCC